rnacentral:lncRNA from 10 species
GGUGCAUGCAGCCCCCAGUCACUUACCCCCUGCUUGCUCAAUCAAUCACGACCCUCUCACGCGCACCCCCUUAGAGUCAUGAGCCCUUAAAAGGGACAGGAAUUGCUCACUCAGGGGGCUCGGCUCUUGAGACAGGAGCCUUGUUGAUGCCCCCGGCCGAAUAAACCCCUUCCUUCUUUAACUCGCUGUCUGAGGAGGUUUGCCUGUGGCUGGUCCUGCUACAUUUCUUGGUUCCCUGACCGGGAAGCGAGCUGAAUGGCGGAUGGUUGAGGCAGCUCCUUAGGCGGCUUAAGCCUGUCCUGUGGAACAUCCCUGUGGGGGACUCUGACCAGCCCGAGCGACGCGGAUCCUGAGAGCGCUCCCGGGAAGGAAUUUGCCCCGGUGGGACGCCUCUCCAGAGCAGUGUGUUGCAGGCCCUCGUGGAGUAUCAAUGCAGUGGCUGAACACCGGGAAGGAAUGGGCACUUGAAGUCUGGAUAUCUAAAACUUGGAACUGUGGAUGCCUCCUGAAUGGGAGCUGCAAACGAUUAUCAGAGUCAAGCAAGAGGAAUGGCAAGGCAUGUGCUGAAUAACAUCACAUUAAUAUGGCUCUUAGCUACCUAACCCAUUAGGAGCCAUAAUUAGGAGAGUUUGAAACAGACUGCAAGCAUCUUCUCCAGAAAGAAGCUAG